GUUAAAACUCUGGUUCUCAUAUGAUCACCAAAGUUAAACAAUGUCAAGCUUGGUCAGUAGCUAGAUGGGUGACCACAAGGGGAUACCAUGUGCUGCAA